rnacentral:rRNA from 1 species
AUGUCUCCCCUCCACCGCCACCGCCUCGGCCGUGUCAUCGUCGUCCUGCUCGUCGUCCUCCUCGCCGCCGCUUCCCAUGGCGGUCCAGCCGACCGCCCGACGUGCCAGCUCGAGCCUCUCACCUGCGGCGAUCUCACUGUCCGCUACCCGUUCCGUCUCUACAACGGGACGGAGGACGCAGUGCCGGCGUACGGCGGGCCGCAGUCGUCGUCGUACUGCGGCUACCCCGGCCUGGGCAUCGUCUGUGACGACGACAAGCCCACCCUCCUCCUCGGGGGCCACGACUACACGGUGUCGGGCAUCAACUACACCAGCCUCACCGUCUCCCUCGCCGACGCCGACGCCCUCGACGAUGGCACCAGCUGUCCCAUGGUCGAUCACAACGUGACCGUCCCGAAGCAGUUCCAUCUGCCCACCUCCACCGUCGCCUACCUCUUCUUCUUCCUCAACUGCACCUUCCCGCCGGAAGCCGAUUUCCCUCCCAAUCCCAAGCCAUUGCGCAAGCCGCCGAGCAUCAAGCCGGUCACCUGCGGGAGCUCCGGAGAAGAGCCUGCCACCAUGUCCUUCGUGCUGCCGGAGCGCGAGAUCCCUCCCAAGGACUGGUGGCAGGCGUGCCGGUCAGUCUACGCAGCGCCCGUGCUCAAGGACGCCCUCCCGGCCGACGCAAAGGACCCCGGGUGGAGGGAGGACGGGUACGCGAAGGCUCUCCGCGGCGGGUUCCAGGUGGGCUGGGACCGGAGCUCCGGCCCGUGCGACCCGUGCGAGCAAUCCGGCGGCAAGUGCGGGUACAACCGCACCGCGGGCUUCCUGGGCUGCUUCUGCGCCAACGGCGCCCUGGUAGUUGGCAGCGCCGCCGGCUGCAGCAAGAUAUCUGACACCACCGCGCCAUUGCCCGGUUCGAACAAGAAAAAGAAUGUCACUAUAGCAGGUGUGGUGGUCGGUGUCGGAGGUGCAUUGCUUGUUGCUGCUGUCAUGGUCUUUCUGUUCAUUCGCAAGAGAAGGCAGAGGAAGGUGGUGAACUCGUCUUCGAAGCUCCUCAAGUACAGGUACAGCGGCUCGGGCGGGACCCCGACGCGCUCCAGGGGCGGCGACAUGGAGUCCGGCAGCUCCCAGGACAUGGGCAACCGGUUCAGCUACGAGGAGCUCGAGGAGGCCACCGAUUCCUUCAACGAGAACAGAGAGCUCGGCGACGGCGGCUUCGGCACCGUCUACAAAGGUUACCUUGGGGACGGGCGGGUGGUGGCGGUGAAGCGGCUGUACAACAACAGCUACCGGCGCGUGGAGCAGUUCGUGAACGAGGCGGCGAUCCUGGCCCGGCUGCGGCACCCGAACCUGGUCAUGUUCUACGGGUGCACCUCCAAGGAGAGCCGCGAGCUGCUCCUGGUCUACGAGUUCGUCCAGAACGGCACGGUGGCCGACCACCUGCACGGGCCCCGCGCGGCGGAGCGCGCCCUGCCGUGGCCGCUCCGGCUCAGCAUCGCCGUGGAGUCCGCGGCGGCGCUGACCUACCUCCACGCCAUCGAGCCGCCCAUCGUGCACCGCGACGUCAAGACCAACAACAUCCUCCUCGACACCGACUUCCACGUCAAGGUCGCCGACUUCGGCCUCUCCCGCCUCUUCCCGCUCGACGCCACCCACGUCUCCACCGCCCCCCAGGGCACCCCAGGGUACGUGGACCCGGAGUACCACCAGUGCUACCAGCUGACGGACAAGAGCGACGUGUACAGCUUCGGCGUGGUGCUGGUGGAGCUCAUCUCGUCCAAGCCCGCCGUGGACAUCACCCGGCAGAGGAACGAGAUCAACCUGGCCGGCAUGGCCAUCAGCAAGAUCCAGAAGUGCCGGCUGGAGGAGCUGGUGGACGUGGAGCUCGGCUACGAGUCGGACCCGGCGGCGAGGAAGAUGAUGACCAUGGUGGCGGAGCUGGCGUUCCGGUGCCUGCAGCAGAACGGCGAGAUGCGCCCGCCGAUCAGGGAGGUGCUGGACGUGCUCAGGGCCAUCCAGGAUGACUGCCUGGGUCACAAAGACGGUGGAGGCAAAGGCAAGAAGGACUUCGCCGAGCCCUUCUCUCCCAACACGGUGCACGCUCCCUGGGACAGCAGGAACACCACCCCUAACACCAGCCAGUAG